UAAUGCUGGGAACCAUGAAAUGUUGUCUUCUGGACACACCAUGACUGUUACAUGCAUGAAAUUCCAGCAACCGUGGUUACCUAACACACAAGACCUGAACAAGAUCAAGCCAGUUAAAAAUCUAGCACAGCCCCACCGGCGGCAGAUAAGAAGCCAGCAAAACAGAAGGCAAACAAAACCUCAUCCAAAUUUAUGGGAAAAGCUCCUUACAGCUUUGAGAAGACUCAUUCUACCUGAGAUGUUUCUGGAAAACCAGAGCUGGGGUAUGCCAGUGAAGCCAUUAUUAACAAUUCAGGCUGGACACAUGGAAAUUCAGGAAGCUGCCAAGCAGGCAGGUGGAGACACAGCAGGC